CCACUACUAGCUCUAUCUCCGCCGGAUUAAGUGCUCCUUGUACUGGGUGAAAGAGUUAAGAACAACCCAGCAAACGUGAGGAAAGGGAGCAACAAAUUGCCAAUGAAAUCAAACAACUCAUACCUAAAUCACAUUUGAAGACAGAAGUAUCGACACCAUUAAUGGCUAGAAUAUCGAUAAGGUUUGGGUCAUCGAGUUUGAUGAUGGUGAACCAUCUUUGCUGAACCUGACUCUGUCGACCUUGCGUCCUCGCCCUUCUUGAUGGCAUUCACGAAUUUGGUUUGGGGGUAACAAGAAGAAGAUUUUGAGCAACGUGGAGGAGCUGAACGGACUUGAUUUGCUGGGUUGAAGAGCAGUAAGUGGUCACUAAAUACAGAAAGAUGAAAAGAAGAAGCCGAUGGAAAGAGAUGGAUUCAAGAAUUAUCUCUGAAACCAGAGUGGCAGAGGGUGAGAACUAUCGGGAUGACGGAGUUGGACGUGGUGGAUCCGGAUCGGGUAUAAGCAUGGAGCGAGAUGGGUUGACCCUUGGUGAAGUAGUUCUUCGAGGUGGUUGCCUCACGUUGCGCUACUUGAAAGAUCCAAAAGAACUCCAGGUGCUUCAAGAAUGGAUGGUUCUACAGUUGGGGCGUGGGAGUGAUGCAUCCAGAUGGGUACUUAGAGAUUAAAGAUCGAUCAAAGGAUGUGAUCAUAAGUGGGAGUGAGAAUCUGAGUGGCGUGGAGGCUGAAUCAAUGCUGUACAACCACCCGGCGGUGAACGAGGCGACGGUGGCGGCGAGGCCGGAUGAGUUCUGGGGAGAGACACUGUGUGCGUUCAUUCGAUUGAAGGAGGGAUCAGAGAAGACGCCGGCAGAAAUAAUUUUUAAACAA